rnacentral:rRNA from 1 species
AACGAACGCUGGCGGCAUGCCUAACACAUGCAAGUCGAACGAGACCUUCGGGUCUAGUGGCGCACGGGUGCGUAACGCGUGGGAACCUGCCCUUAGGUUCGGAAUAACUCCCCGAAAGGGGUGCUAAUACCGGAUAAUGUCUUCGGACCAAAGAUUUAUCGCCUUUGGAUGAGCCCGCGUUGGAUUAGCUAGUUGGUAGGGUAAAAGCCUACCAAGGCGACGAUCCAUAGCUGGUCUGAGAGGAUGAUCAGCCACACUGGGACUGGGACACGGCCCAGACUCCUACGGGAGGCAGCAGUGGGGAAUAUUGGACAAUGGGCGAAAGCCUGAUCCAGCAAUGCCGCGUGAGUGAUGAAGGCCUUAGGGUUGUAAAGCUCUUUUACCCGGGAUGAUAAUGACAGUACCGGGAGAAUAAGCGCCGGCUAACUCCGUG